rnacentral:ribozyme from 1 species
AGAAUUAGAGAAAUUGAAAUUGGACGAAAUGACUUGUUAUUCCCUUUCUAUUCUUUCCUUUUCUUUCUUUCUUUCUUUCUUUCU